UGAGUUCAAGAAUGUAAUCGCCUUUAUUAUUGUACUUGUAGCAAUUCUCCCAUAUAAACCGUACAUCCUUGUACACAUCCUCUGAAUUCAUAUACUUAAUACCGCUUUCAAGGUUGCUACAAAUGGUCCCGAAAUCCAUAGGUGUAUUCCGAGAGCAACAGGGUUCACUGGAACAUUAAAAGGCUCUGCGGCAUCCAUUUUCAUAAUCUUCUUAAUC
rnacentral:lncRNA from 1 species